GGUGUUUCUGAUUAUAAUAUUAGUUCCAUAAACAAAUAUGUGGUGAUAAAAAUUAAUGGAAAACAUUAUCGAGUACAAAUAUGUGGUGAUAAAAAUUAAUGGAAAACAUUAUCGAGUACAAAUUUGUUUAGAUAUAUAGUUAGGGAAGAGAAUCGACGAGUUUUAUACUGAAAUCCCAAAGUUUAUCGGCGAGGGUAGUGUCGAUGGCGAAGUUACUUGGAGUGGUAACGUUACAGUCCGUGAAGUACUUCCCGG
rnacentral:lncRNA from 1 species